UACGUAGGGUGCGAGCGUUAAUCGGAAUUACUGGGCGUAAAGCGUGCGCAGGCGGUUUUGUAAGUCUGACGUGAAAUCCCCGGGCUCAACCUGGGAAUUGCGUUGGAGACUGCAAGGCUAGAAUCUGGCAGAGGGGGGUAGAAUUCCACGUGUGAGCAGUGAAAUGCGUAGAGAUGUGGAGGAACACCGAUGGCGAAGGCAGCCCCCUGGGUCAAGAUUGACGCUCAUGCACGAAAGCGUGGG
rnacentral:rRNA from 1 species